UAGGGAGACCUACCCAAACUAAUAUCGACAUAUAUAUAUUUAGUCGAAUUAGUUGGAGUCACCUAAGGUCGAACGAGUCUUGAUGUAAAGCGAAAGCGUCUGAGAUUAUGUUUUUCGUUAGCUGAAUUUUCUAUCUCAAUCGGAAGUUUAGCUAAUGAAAAACUCUGCCGUGAUUCGGUGGAGAGGGGCUAUUAGCUCAGGUGGUUAGAGCGCACCCCUGAUAAGGGUGAGGUCCCUGGUUCGAGUCCAGGAUGGCCCACCAUUAUAUGUGGGGGUAUAGCUCAGAUGGUAGAGCGCCUGCUUUGCACGCAGGAAGUCAGCGGUUCAAGUCCGCUUACCUCCACCACCAAAGUCUCAGUAGAGAGACAUCUCCAAAGGGAUGAAUUAAUUAGGGAUAGUAUUUAGCAUCAGAGGGCGUAGAGUCAUUUGACUGCUGGGUAUUAGACCUAGCAAGGACCUUGAAAACUGCAUAGAGAAGAAAAGCAGGUAAGAAACUC
rnacentral:tRNA from 1 species